rnacentral:rRNA from 1 species
UACGUAGGGUGCAAGCGUUGUCCGGAAUUAUUGGGCGUAAAGAGCUCGUAGGCGGUCUGUCGCGUCGGAUGUGAAAAUCCAGGGCUUAACCCUGGACCUGCAUUCGAUACGGGCAGACUAGAGUUCGGUAGGGGAGACUGGAAUUCCUGGUGUAGCGGUGAAAUGCGCAGAUAUCAGGAGGAACACCGGUGGCGAAGGCGGGUCUCUGGGCCGAUACUGACGCUGAGGAGCGAAAGCUGGGGGAGCGAACAGG